GUCUACGGCCAUACCACCCUGAAUGCGCCCGACCUCGUCUGAUCUCGGAAGCUAAGCAGGGUCGGGCCUGGUUAGUACUUGGAUGGGAGAAACACAAAUCAAAAUCACAGUGAGGUACC
ensembl:rRNA 5S_rRNA 5S ribosomal RNA